rnacentral:rRNA from 1 species
UACGGGGGGGGCAAGCGUUGUUCGGAAUUACUGGGCGUAAAGGGCUCGUAGGCGGCCAACUAAGUCCGACGUGAAAUCCCAAGGCUUAACCUUGGAACUGCGUCGGAUACUGGAUGGCUUGAAUUCGGGAGAGGGAUGCAGAAUUCCAGGUGUAGCGGUGAAAUGCGCAGAUAUCAGGAGGAACACCGGUGGCGAAGGCGGGUCUCUGGGCCGAUACUGACGCUGAGGAGCGAAAGCGUGGGGAGCGAACAGG